GAUGAACGCUGGCGGCGUGCUUAACACAUGCAAGUCGAACGAUGGUCCCCAGCUUGCUGGGGGGAUUAGUGGCGAACGGGUGAGUAACACGUGAGUAACCUGCCCAAGAACUCUGGGAUAAGCCUGGGAAACUGGGUCUAAUACUGGAUGCCGACUUUCCGCCGCAUGGUGGGGGGUUGAAAGAUUUUAUUGGUUUUGGAUGGACUCGCGGCCUAUCAGCUUGUUGGUGGGGUAAUGGCCUACCAAGGCGACGACGGGUAGCCGGCCUGAGAGGGUGACCGGCCACACUGGGACUGAGACACGGCCCAGAACUCCUACGGGAGGCAGCAGUGGGGAAUAUUGCACAAUGGGCGAAAGCCUGAUGCAGCGACGCCGCGUGAGGGAUGACGGCCUUCGGGUUGUAAACCUCUUUCAGUAGGGAACAAGGCCAGGCUUUUGUUUGGUUGAGGGUACUUGCAGAAGAAGCGCCGGCUAACUACGUGCCAGCAGCCGCGGUAAUACGUAGGGCGCAAGCGUUAUCCGGAAUGAUGGGGCGUAAAGAGCUCGUAGGCGGUUUGUCGCGUCUGCCGUGAAAGUGCGG
rnacentral:rRNA from 1 species